UUUAAGGGUAACCAUAAGUUUCCGUGGCCAACUUUGAUCGUUGGUCUUAUUUGAAAUUUUUUUAUAAUUAGUAGUUUUGUUAUUAUGAGAUGAUAAAACAUGAAUAAUACUUUACUCGUGACUUAUGUUUUUAAUUUUUUUCAAAAAAUUUUCAAAUAAAACGGACAGUCAAAGUUGAGCGCGAAAAAAUCAUGGCUGCACUUAAA
rfam:Oryza glumipatula chromosome 8, whole genome shotgun sequence.